GGAUGAUCAGCCACAUUGGGACUGAGAUACGGCCCAGACUCCUACGGGAGGCAGCAGUGGGGAAUAUUGGACAAUGGACGAAAGUCCGAUCCAGCGACACCGCGUGGGGGAUGAAGGCUUUCGGGUCGUAAACUCCUUUUCUGGGGGAAGAAUAAGGUCAGGAGGAAAUGCCUGUCCGAUGACGGUACUCCAGGAAUAAGCAUCGGCAAACUUCGUGCCAUCAGCCGCGGUAAGACGAGGGAUGCAAGCGUUAUCCGGAAUUACUGGGCGUAAAGGACGUCUAGGCGGUUGGAUAAGUCAUUUGUGAAAUCCCAGGGCUUAACCCUGGAAGGUCUUGUGAUACUGUCCAGCUUGGGUGUAGGAGAGGAGAGCGGAACUCACAGAGUAGCGGUGGAAUGCGUAGAUACUGUGAGGUACCCCGAUGGCGAAGGCAGCUCUCUGGCCUAUUACCGACGCUGAAGCGUGAAAGCGUGGGGAGCAAAGUGGAUUAGAUACCCCCGUAGUCCACGCCCCAAACGAUGUUCACUUGGUGUCGGGAGCCUAUAUAUCUCGGUGCCGGAGCUAACGCGUUAAGUGAACCGCCUGAGGAGUACGGCCGCAAGGCUAAAACUCAAGAGAAUUGACGGGUCCCCGCACAAGCGGUGGAGCACGUGGUUUAAUUCGAUGAUAAGCGAAGAACCUCACCUGGGCUUGACAUACUAGUGGUAAGAACCGGAAACGGUGAUGACCCUACCUUCGGGUAGGGAGCUAAUACAGGUGAUGCAUGGCUGUCGUCAGCUCGUGUCGUGGGAUGUAGGGUUAAGUCCCGAAACGAGCGCAACCCUUGUCACUAGUUGCCAGCGGAUAAUGCCGGGGACUCUAGUGAGACUGCUGGUGAAUAGCCGGAGGAAGGCGGGGAUGACGUCAAGUCAUCAUGUCCCUUAUGCCCAGGGCGACACACAUGCUACAAUGGAAGGUACAAAGGGUUGCGAAGCCGUAAGGUGCAGCCAAUCUCAAAAAACCUUCCCCAGUUCGGAUUGUGGUCUGCAACUCGACCACAUGAAGCCGGAAUCGCUAGUAAUCGUAGGUCAGCCAUACUACGGUGAAUAUGUACUCGGGGAUUGUACACACCGCCCGUCACACCAACCGAGUGGGGGGUACCUGAAGUCGCUCUUUUGAGGGCGCCUAAGGUAACCUUCGCAAGAGGGGUGAAGUCGUAACAAGGUA
rnacentral:rRNA from 1 species